AUUGAACGCUGGCGGCAUGCCUUACACAUGCAAGUCGAACGGCAGCACGGGAGCAAUCCUGGUGGCGAGUGGCGAACGGGUGAGUAAUAUAUCGGAACGUGCCCAGUCGUGGGGGAUAACGUAGCGAAAGCUACGCUAAUACCGCAUACGAUCUAUGGAUGAAAGCGGGGGGAUCGCAAGACCUCGCGCGAUUGGAGCGGCCGAUAUCAGAUUAGGUAGUUGGUGGGGUAAAAGCCUACCAAGCCUUCGAUCUGUAGCUGGUCUGAGAGGACGACCAGCCACACUGGAACUGAGACACGGUCCAGACUCCUACGGGAGGCAGCAGUGGGGAAUUUUGGACAAUGGGCGCAAGCCUGAUCCAGCAAUGCCGCGUGCAGGAUGAAGGCCUUC
rnacentral:rRNA from 1 species